UGAAUGCUGGCGGCGUGCCUAAUACAUGCAAGUCGAGCGGUAACAGAACUUCACCGUUCCCUGACACACCUAGCGCGAGUAUCGUAGGUGGAGAGACUUCGAGGGCACAGUGAAGUUGCUGACGAGCGGCGGACGGCUGAGUAACGCGUGGGAACGGACCCCAAACUGAGGGGAUAACUACUCGAAAGAGUGGCUAAUACCGCAUGUGAUCUUCGGAUUAAAGGAUUUAUCCGGUUUGGGACUGGCCUGCGUACGAUUAGAUAGUUGGUAGGGUAAUGGCCUACCAAGUCGACGAUCGUUAGAUGGUUUGAGAAGAUGAUCAUCCAGACUGGGACUGAGACACGGCCCAGACUCCUACGGGAGGCAGCAGUAGGGAAUCUUUCACAAUGGGCGAAAGCCUGAUGGAGCAACGCCGCGUGCAGGAUGACGGCCUUCGGGUUGUAAACUGCUUUUAUAAGCGAGAAAUAUGAUGGUAACUUAUGAAUAAGGACCGGCUAACUACGUGCCAGCCGCCGC
rnacentral:rRNA from 1 species